GUGCAUAUAGUCAAGUGGUUUAAGACCGUUGGCCGCAACCCAACUAUCGGGGGUUCGAAUCCCUCUAUGCACU
rnacentral:tRNA from 1 species